GCGCUCGCUUCAGCAGCACAUAUACUAAAAUUAGAACGAUACAGAGAAGAUUAGCGUGGCCCCUGCGCAAAACAGCUUAGUAGGACAGUUACAAUAAUUAA
rnacentral:snRNA from 1 species